rfam:Callithrix jacchus chromosome 8, whole genome shotgun sequence
AUAAUUGAAGGCUUAGCCAUGAAGUACUUUGUAAGUACAUAUAAUAUAAUAUCUUCACCCUUAUUAUGUAAUUAGUACAUUAUUUCUUGUCCCCAUGAAUAAUACUUA